UCUCUCUCUCUCUCUUCUGCAUGCAUUCUAUACCUUAUUUAUCUAUGGGUGACGUAUUAAUGCAUAUAUUAUAUGCCUUACACAACAGAUCAUGUGCCUUAAACUGUGUCUAAGGAGUUACCACAAAGAAUAUGCUCAUCUUUAGCCUUAGGGUGUGUUGAUUGUGAAAUUAAUUUUAAGGAUUUGGAUUUAAGCUUUGCUUAAAGUUUCUAUGUAUCUUUUCUUGAAAAUGGAGAUGUAAUUCAUAAUUGUGAUGGGAGAAUGUUUAAUUUUAUUUUGGAUGGAAGAUUGAAGCUUUAAAAGAAAAUAAGAAGAAAUGAAAAAGGAAAGAAGAAGAAGAUGAAAAAGAAGAGAGGGGUAGAGAUCGUUACCUAUAGCUUUUCGCUCAAUUUCUCAGUAAUCAAAUUACUAAGCAAAGUUGAGUCACUAAAUCUGCAGAAAAUCUGGAAAUUUGUAAAAUGACCAUAUAAACAGUAAAAUUUGCAAGGUUAUAACUCUCUCUAGAAAACUCUAAUUUAGGUGAUUCUUGAACCGAUAGAAACUUAAAACAUAAUACAAUAUUUCGUAUGAACAACUUGAAGCCUAAUUUCGAACUUAACCCAACCAAAUUGCUGAGUAAAGUUGAGUUAAUAAAUCUAUCAGAGCAGUGAACACUAACGUAAAUAGUAAAUUUUAAACAGCCAUAACUCUCUAUAGAACUCUUCGAUUUAGGUGAUUCUUGAACCAAUGAAAAUUUAAAAUAUAGUAGAAAAUUUCAUAUGAAGAACUUGGAGCCAAAUUAUGAACUUAACCCAAUCAAAUUGUUAGCCAAAGUUAAGUCACCAAAGCUACCACAAUCAGCCUCACGUGAAUAGUAAAAUUCAUUUGACUAUAAUUUUGGCUACACAACUUCAAAUGAGGUGAUUUAAAAAGAGAAAUAAAGAUGAGACCUAGAGGGACAAUUGUCAUGAAGGACUCCUCAUCAACGUAUGAUUGAAACUAGGUAAAAAUUGGGUUCAAAGUUUAAUGUACUAGGUUGCCAGAAAAUCAAAACUCUUUGAAAUUUGCAAAGCUAACUUGGGAUGCAUUAGACAUUCAUGUAAUGAGUUUUUGGCAGCAAUUGAGAUGAGUGUUGAGGUAUUCUAUUUGCAUAUUUUCAGUAGAGAAGGAGGUUAGGACGAACAAUGAGAAGUAAGUAAAGAUAAAGGAGUUCAUUGAAGCUAAGGAAAAGGAGAAGGCUGUCGAGUGAGAGACUUGGAAGCAUCAUUUUGGUAUUGAUUGUGGGUAUUUACGUUAGGUAUACCCUUGUGAUUCCUUUGGAUGUAUUUUGUACCUAUAUGUAUGGAUGUACGGACAUUGAGCAGUUUGUAUUAAAAAGCAUUUCAUUACUAAAGUAUUUUGAGUUUUUAACUAUUUAUAUUUUAUUUGAAAACUUAUGGAAAUGUAACUUUGCAAUAUUCAAUCUA